UUCGCAAUGCCCGAAAGGGUGACGAAGCGACGCCGCGUGUGGGAAGAAGGCCUUCGGGUUGUAAACCACUGUCGGGAGUUAAGAAAUGCAAGGGUGCUAAUAGUAUCCUUGCUUGACUAAGGCUCCGGAGGAAGCCACGGCUAACUCUGUGCCAGCAGCCGCGGUAAUACAGAGGCGGCAAGCGUUGUUCGGAAUUAUUGGGCGUAAAGAGCACGUAGGCGGCUAUGUAAGUCGGUUGUGAAAGCCUUCCGCUCAACGGAAGAACAGCAUCCGAUACUGCAUGGCUUGAGUGCGGGAGGGGAGAGUGGAACUUCUGGUGGAGCGGUGAAAUGCGUAGAUAUCAGAAGGAACGCCUGCGGCGAAAGCGGCUCUCUGGCCCAUAACUGACGCUGAGUGUGCGAAAGCUAGGGGAGCAAACGGGAUUAGAUACCCCGGUAGUCCUAGCCGUAAACGAUGGGCACUAAGUAGAGGGGUUUU
rnacentral:rRNA from 1 species